GAACCUUAUGUAUGUUGCCUUGGUGGAGUCAUUUCCUGUUUCAAUUUAAUUUAAUGCAUGGGAAAGUAUAUCCUUAUACAAUAACAAAAAUCUAUAAUCAUUCCAUUUGAAGUUAAUACCCUAUUUGUCAUCACCCUAGAUAGUUUACAAUGGGGAUUCUGAUUGGAGAUGUCCUUCUCACCUAACAUCCCAUGCUGUUGAGAUACUCUACGUAAGUGAAUAUCGUGAGAGUCAAAUUCGAGCCUGGUGAGAGGGUUACAUGUAGAAGCAGUGAAGGAAGUUCACGCAGAAACAAUCGAGACACCUAGAGGAGCAUGUAUUCCAGGGCAGAUUGGGAUGCAGGUUGGGUGUGAUGUAGGGAGCAGAAUGGGAGAGAACACAAGAAUGGUAGUAGACAUGAGGAAGUUUGUUACAUUUGUGACAGCAGCAAUCAAUUGCGAAGGAAAAUUACAAUUGAAGACUAAGAAGAUAUAGAUUAUAGAGGAGCAGGCGGUGAGGUAUCUUGGGAUCACAUGACUAACAUGGGGAAAAUGUACAGGAUGACCUCAAUAAGAUUGAGAAUCAGUCCAGCCAGGAAUCAUGUAUUGGUUAAUUUUCAUGAUGGUGUUAAUCCUUCACUGGAAUGCCAGAAGUUUGAUGGGUAAUGGGCAAGAUUUCAAACAGUUUCUUGAGGAGUUACCAGCCAAACCUGAUGUGAAAUGUCUCCAGGAGACAUGGCAUAAAACUACUCUAGAUUUUGUAUUACAAGGUCAUGUUGGAGUCCAUAGAGAUAGGGUGGCAGGGGGAUGAGAAGGGUGUGCUACCUUUAUAAAGCGGGGGAUCCCAUAUACAGUACCAGUCAAAAGUUUGGACACCUACUCAUUCAAGGGUUUUUCUUCAUUUGUACUAUUUUCUACAUUGUAGAAUAAUAGUGAAGACAUCAAAACUAUGAAAUAACACAUAUGGAAUCAUAUAGUAACCAAAAAAAGUGUUAAACAAAUCAAAAUAUAUUUUAGAUUUUUCAAAGUAGCCACCCUUUGCCUUGAUGACAGAUUUGCACACUCUUGGCAUUCUCUCAACCAGCUUCAUGAGGUAGUCACCUGGAAUGCAUUUCAAUUAACAGGUGUGUCUUGUUAAAAGUGAAUUUGUGGAAUUUCUUUCCUUCUUAAUGCUUCGAGCCAAUCAGUUGUGUUGUGACAUGGUAGCGGUGGUAUACAGAAGAAACCCCGAUUUGGUAAAAUACCAAGUAUAUAUUAUGACAAGAACAGCUCAAAUAAGCGAAGAGAAAUGACUGUCCAUCAUUACUUUAAGACAUGAAGGUCAGUCAACAUGGACAAUUUCAAGGAAAGUGCAGAGCUACCUCUCCUGCAGAGGAUAAGUUCAUUAGAGUUAGCAGCCUCAGAAAUUGCAACCCAAAUAAAUGCUUCACAGAGUUCAAGUAACAAACAACUCAACAUCAACUCAUUCAGAGGAGACUGCGUGAAUCAGGCCUUCAUGGUCGAAUUUCUGCAAAGAAACCACUACUAAAUGACACCAAUUAUGAAGAAGAGAUUUGCUUGUGCCAAGAAACAUGAGCAAUGGACAUUAGACCUGUGGAAAUCUGUCCUUUGGUAUGAUGAGUCCAAAUUUGAGAUUUUUGGUUCCAACCGGCAUGUCAUUGUGAGACGCAGAGUAGGUGAACGGAUGAUCUCCGCCUGUGUGGUUCCCACUGUGAAGCAUGGAGGCGGAGGUGGGAUGAUGUCGGGGUGCUUUGCUGGUGACAGUGCCGGUGAUUUUAUUAGAAUUCAAGGCACACUUAGCCAACAUGGCUACCAGAGCAUUCUGCAGCGAUACGCCAUCCCAUCUGGUUUGGGCUUAGUGGGACUAUCAUUCGUUUUUCAACAGGACAAUGACCCAACACCCCCCCCAGGGUGUGUAAGGGCUAUUUGAUCAAGAAGGAGAGUGAUGGAUUGCUGCAUCAGAUGACCUGUCCUCCACAAUCACCUGACCUCAACCCAAUUGAGAUGGUUUGGGAUGAGUUGGACUGCAGAGUGAAGGAAAAGCAGCCAAAAACUCCUUCAAAACUGUUGGAAAAUUAUUCCAGGUGAAGCUAGUUGAGAGAAUGCCUAGAAUGUGCAAAGCUGUCAUCAAGGCAAAGGGUGGUGUCACAACAUCCACAGAAGGUGGCGCCACUCCCCGGUCGGGCGGCGCUCGGUGGUCGUCGUCACCGGCCUACUAGCUGCCACCGAUCCAUGUUUCAUGUGUUUGUUAGUUAUGUCUGUUUUGUGCACACUGUUCCAUCUGAGACAGGAGACGAGGAGCGCACAGGAUUUCGCGUUGGAGUUCCGGACCCUUGCCGCUGGAGUGGGGUGGAACGAGAGGGCCGUUGUAGCCUGAGGGAGGACGUUCGCCGGGAGCUGGCAUGUCGGGAUACUACAAACACCCUGGACAAGCUUAUCGAUCUGUCCAUCAGACUGGACAACCUGCUGGCUGCUCGUGGGCGUUCUCCUCGGGCCCUUUUCGUUCCACCUCCCAGUCUUCCUGAUCCAACGCCCAUGGAGAUAGGGGGGACUGCAGCUAGGAAGACCGGAGGGGGGGGGUCUCUCCUGUGCCCACUGUGGUCACAGAGGGCACACUGCCGACCGGUGCUGGAAAGGCUCACCCAGGAGUUCAGAGGGCAGGCAGAGUACCACGUCAACACCCCAGUGAGGAGGAUGGUCCUCCCCGUCCUCCUCUGAGGAGCCUCCACUGAUGACAACAUGGUGCGAUCCACUCGACUGCCUUCAUCAUACAAGCCCAAGUCACGUAACCUUAUCCAAAUACUACUUGGGUGGUGGGAUGGCUCACCACUGCCAUCUGCUGUAUCGUAACUAAACUGCUCCAUGGCACACCAUAAUGCUUUGGAAUGUG
rnacentral:lncRNA from 1 species